AACCCAUGGUGAGGACAUCUUCUUAAAAGGUCCUUGUAUCUCUCCCAUGCAUCAUAGAGUGUUUCUAUAUUCAUUUGCAUAAAUGAAGAGAUAUCAUUACGUAAUUU
rfam:Gossypium arboreum cultivar AKA8401 contig_20504_5, whole genome shotgun sequence.